rnacentral:rRNA from 1 species
GAACGGCAGCGGGGGUAGCUUGCUCCCGCCGGCGAGUGGCAAACGGGUGAGUAAUACAUCGGAACGUGCCCAGUAGUGGGGGAUAGCCCGGCGAAAGCCGGAUUAAUACCGCAUACGACCUACGGGUGAAAGCGGGGGACCGAAAGGCCUCGCGCUAUUGGAGCGGCCGAUGGCUGAUUAGCUAGUUGGUGGGGUAAAGGCCUACCAAGGCUACGAUCAGUCGCUGGUCUGAGAGGACGACCAGCCACACUGGGACUGAGACACGGCCCAGACUCCUACGGGAGGCAGCAGUGGGGAAUUUUGGACAAUGGGCGAAAGCCUGAUCCAGCAAUGCCGCGUGUGCGA